rnacentral:rRNA from 1 species
UACGUAGGAUCCAAGCGUUGUCCGGAUUUACUGGGUGUAAAGGGUGCGCAGGCGGACUUAUAAGUCAGUGGUGAAAUCUCACAGCUUACUGUGAAACUGCCUUUGAUACUGUAGGUCUUGAAUUAGGGAGAGAUUCGUGGAAUUCCGAGUGAGCAGUGAAUGUGUAGAUAUUCGGAAGAACACCAGAGGCGAAGGCAGCGAAUUGGCCCUAUAUUACGCUCAGGCACAAAGCAUGGGGAUCAAACAGG